CGGAGUUUCCUUCAACGCUCCUAAAUACAACUUCAUGUAGGUGCCGCACUCGUGCGCAAUAUAUGCUUCAGCUAUACAUCCUUCAGGCGCGGAUUUAUUAGCCACAUAAUCUUUGUAGUCUCCAAGUUGCUUAUAAAUCAAGUUGCAAAGUGUUAUGAUUAUUGAACAUGUAUAUUGAGGAAUUCAGGUGUAAAAAACGUACAUUUCCAUGGGAUACAUCCAAGUGUAGUGUACUGGACUGGUAAGCAACAAUUGCUCGGGAAGAUGGAUCACUAGGUGAGGCAUGAUGUCAAAAAAAUUUGGAGGAAAUAUCCCCUCAAAUUUAUACAUGAUAUAAAUGAUGUCCUCUUGCAUUUCCCGGAUGUUAGAUUUUUUCACUUCCCGUGUGCAUAACUUCUGGAAGAAUCUUGCCAACGCUACUAACGGCUCCACCACCUGACGGUGAAGGAACGGUCGAAUGAAAACAAGGAAGAGACGUUGUAGCAGGAUAUGACAGUCAUGACUCUUCAACCAGUACAUCUUAUUGUCCCGGAAGUUCACACACCGGGCUAUAUUUCCUGCAUAGCCUGAAGGAUACUUCACAUGUAAUACCCCGGAAAUUUGAUAUUAGUUUCUAAUGUUAUUUUGGAAAUUUUUAAGUAAGAGUUGUAUGAUUUUGUGGUUUAGUGAGUGGACUGGAAGUAGUCGAGUUUUUAUUUCCGUGGAAAUGCUUUAUUUUGAAGGGUCAAGAGUUGACUUUUUAAUCUAUUGGGUUUCUCGGAAAACUUUCUUCACGAAAGUUGUAGAGCACGACGAUACGAGUUCGUAGACAUGUGGCACGUGUAAAAUGGAUUUCGUAUGAGGAAGUUAUGGUAAGCGGAAGUUCGUGGCUUUACAGGAUUUUCGGGUUAAAUAAGGAAAGUGUUAGGGUUUCCAUUCAUUUUUUCCGGAACCCAUUUCCUUCCCUCUUUCUUCUCCCUCGCGCCUCACCCUCACUACCCGAGUUUUCCAGCCGACCCGACCCGGUGUUUCCGGCCAACUCCGGCGGACUCAGACGGCGGCACCGGUCGGAAACUCUUCCUCUCCUCGGCGUGAUCCUCCCUGUGUAGGUGG
rnacentral:lncRNA from 1 species